CUGUAUGAAGUUGGAAUCGCUAGUAAUCGCGGAUCAGCAUGCCGCGGUGAAUACGUUCCCGGGCCUUGUACACACCGCCCGUCACACCAUGGGAGUCGGAAAUGCCCGAAGCCGGUGACCAAACCAAUAAGGAAGGAGCCGUCGAAGGCAGGUCUGAUAACUGGGGUGAAGUCGUAACAAGGUAUC
rnacentral:rRNA from 1 species